rnacentral:ncRNA from 1 species
AAAAAAGCAAAGAAGAGGAAAGUACUUGUUGGUUGGUCCUUCAGAGAGCUCUUGGUCGGUGGGAAAGAGCGGACGGCAGCACAGGAAAAAUGGCCUCGGAGUUGAUGCGCUGACAGGGAAUCCUGCAGGCGCAUCCGGACGCCCCCGUUAGACAGGCAACGGUAUCGAGCGCGGUAAAAGGCUCCGUACCGGUUGAGGCGGCCAGCGCAAGCUUUCCGCGAAAAAAGGUGGAACCACGAUGUCACUGUCGUCCUUUCU